UACGUAGGGGGCGAGCGUUGUCCGGAGUUACUGGGCGUAAAGCGCACGCAGGCGGCCUGCUAAGUUUGGAGUGACAGUUGGUGGCUUAACUGCCAAAGUGCUUCGAAAACUGACAGACUUGAGGGCUUCAGAGGGACACGGAAUUCCGGGUGGAGUGGUGAAAUGCGUAGAGAUCAGGAAGAACACCCGUGGCUAAGGCGGUUCUCUAGUACGGUACUGACGCUGAGACGCGAAAGCGUGGGGAGCGAACAGG
rnacentral:rRNA from 1 species